GUUGAUUCAAAUAAGGAGGGAGGGGAACAGGAAAGAGGCAGGUACACUCACAGGGUAUUUUUGGUUUGUCAUUUUUUUUUUGCAGGGAUUUCGGGGAGCUUUAUUCAUGAACCAUGGAAGAGCGCACGAAGAGAAGAAGAAAAGGUAGGAAUGGCGGCACAUCUCGCUCAACUUGCUCAAGCCUUCGUAAGGUUCAUACUCAGGGAAGCCCGUCGCAACCACCGCGUCUCCAACAUUCGUCGCCGGGGAGUUGCUGUUGCUGUUCGUCGCCGCCGGGGAGUUGCUGUUGCUGUUCGUCGCCGCCGGGGAGUUGCUGUUGCUGUUCGUCGCCGCCGGGGAGUUGUUGUUGUUGUUCGUCGCCGCCAGGGAGUUGCUGUUGCUAUUCGUCGCCGUCGACUUCAUGGUGUUGUCCGUCGCCGUCGACUUGCUGGUCCCGGCAUUGGCCUCCGUCAGCGCCGGGCUCGCCGUCGUCACCAUCAAGGAACUGCAAGAAGGGCCACGCCCGCAGCACCGCCAUUUGAAUGGCUUGUAGCCGGCACGAGCGCUGGCUGGUUGGCAGAAGAAGGGGAACGCCGAGCGACGCCUCUGCGUCCGGUCCUCAUCGACGACGAACUGGCGCCGCCACCACUCCCACCAACGCCUCCGCGUCUGCUGACACCAACACCGACCCCAGAACUUGAUGCACCGCCGGGAUAUGGUCCAGUGGAGGCGCCGGCACCAGAACCAACUCCAACACCGACGCCAGAAGCCCGACGCCUCCUGCGCCGGUUCGCCUCAGCGAUGGCAGUGCGCCGCCCCGAUCUGCACGUGGGCGGGUGGAACCCAGGCGCACUCGGUUUCAACGCCGGGAACUCCUCCGCGGCGUCCUCCGGCGGCCGCAAUUUCAUGGCGCCCUCCUUUGACGCGGGAGGGUCAGCCACCCCUUGAAGAUAGCAGCGGUGCAGUGCAGCCCGGCGGCAUGGACUGGAGCAGCAGCGUGGCGGCGGCAUGGAAAACCUAAUCGCUCGCUCGCUCGCCUCUGGUUUUAAUCCCGUCGUUCCCAAUCUCGUACGCAUGGGCUUGCUGGGCCAAAACAGGCCGACUGCACCUCCACUCAAGAAACGGAGAUUUGCAUGUUAGCCACUAUAUUUCCGGGCAUUUGCGAAUCAGUCCUAUAGUUAACUAUUAAGUUAUUUACUGCUGUAAAUUUAUUCCUUUUAUUCUCUGACUUUAUACAUAAUUACGUCCGGUACUGUAAUGUAUUGUAGGCUUGUAUCAUAGACCAUGUUACCUCUAAGUAUUAUGUUAUAAGUAUUGUAAUA